rnacentral:misc_RNA from 1 species
GAAAUGCGAUACGUAGUGUGAAUUGCAGAAUUCCGUGAACCAUCGAAUCUUUGAACGCAUAUUGCGCCUAAGGCUUCGGCCAAAGGCAUGCCUGCCUCAGCGUCGGGUUCCAACCUCAUCUCUCCCCUUUCCUCUGCGAAAGCUGAGAUGGAAUUGAUGGCCCUUCGAGGGAGCCUCUCACGACGGUUCUCUCUCAACGGCCAUUGAAUUGUAUCUACCUGCUCCUGCCACUAGACAUCGUGGCCAGGAUGCAACUGAGCAAGUGCUUCUUCACAGAACACCUUUAGUUGCAGCCUGUCCUUUUCUUUGUCGAAAACCGUGCCAUGGAGUCGCGUGAUCAGACACAAAACACCCUUUAUCCUCGACCUGAGCUCAGACAAGAUUACCCGCUGAACUUAA